GAUAUUGAAGUCUUGUCAUAAAGUCUGUAAUCAUUUCCUGGAAGGUCCUAAGAACACUGUCAUUAUAGAUUAAAAGGUGAAUAUACUUAGAUAAGAAAAGAGGAGACAUGGACUCUGCAGAAGUUUAAGCAACCCUGGACUGCAGGACGUCAUUGUCUUGGUUCCAAACAUCAGAAAAGGUGUUCUUUGUCACAGAGUGCCUGAAACAUUGCUGAAAGAUUGGUCGAUUUUUGGUGAAGGAGAAGAGUUGACUCAAAAAUAUGUGAGUACCAAUAUUCCCUCACUCAUCCUAGCUUAUACAAAAAUAAAUUAUUUUGAAAAGGAUAUUUUGCAAAAGGAUAGUCACAAAUAGGAUAGUUGGACUAGCUGUUUGGUUGCAGUAGUGUUGUUUAGUUUUCUCAUUUGUUUAACACUGGAAUGCCUUACCUUAUCUUAGAUACAUAUAUUCUUCUCUUUUCAGACUGUGUGUUGUAAAAAUGAAGAGUGAACAGGCAUUCACAUAAUUAGUUUGGCAUGUGCAGUACUGUUUCAAAGAACUAAUAGGCUUCUUGUACCCUAUUAACAAGUCAUUGUCUCCAGAGAGAGAAUUUGAUUGGCUGUCUUAGGUCAACUGAUUAUUAUAAUUCAAUUACCAAUAUUUUAUGCUAUAAUUAUUACUGAAAUGAGAUGAUGGGGCAGAAAUAGUCUUAGAUAAGGGGAGGAGAGAGUGUCACAUGAUCCAACCAUUGUCUACUCUAUUUCAGUAGGGGCACUCUCUGCAUUUCAAAUAUCUCAACGUGGGGAUGUUUACCACGUUAUAUUCUUUGGUGAAACAACCAGUGGUCAACACUUUUCACCCUGGCUAAAAGAAACUCUGGAUGUUAAAAUCCUCGGCAAACACACAACUUAGAUCGCAGUCCCACUAAGUCUAGGCUACUUUCUCUCACUACUAAGAAGGUCUAGUGACUUCAUUGGUGUCUUCCACACACAGCUACUCCAAGGGGUGGCUGUGUAUUUAUUAAACACCACCAGCACUCAUUAUGGAGGUGU